rnacentral:rRNA from 1 species
UGGCGGACGGGUGAGUAACGCGUGGGCAACCUGCCUUACACAGGGGGACAACAGCUGGAAACGGCUGCUAAUACCGCAUAUGCGCACAGGGCCGCAUGGCCUGGUGCGGAAAACUCCGGUGGUGUAAGAUGGGCCCGCGUCUGAUUAGGUAGUUGGCGGGGUAACGGCCCACCAAGCCGACGAUCAGUAGCCGGCCUGAGAGGGUGGACGGCCACAUUGGGACUGAGACACGGCCCAAACUCCUACGGGAGGCAGCAG